AUUGAACGCUGGCGGCAGGCCUAACACAUGCCAGUCGAGCGGAUGAAGGGAGCUUGCUCCUGGAUUCAGCGGCGGACGGGUGAGUAAUGCCUAGGAAUCUGCCUGGUAUUGGGGGAUAACGUCCGGAAACGGGCGCUAAUACCGCAUACGUCCUGAUGGAGAAAGUGGGGGAUCUUCGGACCUCACGCUAUCAGAUGAGCCUAGGUCGGAUUAGCUAGUUGGUGGGGUAAAGGCCUACCAAGGCGACGAUCCGUAACUGGUCUGAGAGGAUGAUCAGUCACACUGGAACUGAGACACGGUCCAGACUCCUACGGGAGGCAGCAGUGGGGAAUAUUGGACAAUGGGCGAAAGCCUGAUCCAGCCAUGCCGCGUGUGUGGAGAAGGUCUUCGGAUUGUAAAGCACUUUAAGUUGGGAGGAAGGGCAGUAAGUUAAUACCUGGCUGUUUUGACGGUACCAACAGAAUAAGCACCGGCUAACUUCGUG
rnacentral:rRNA from 1 species